ACGUAGGUAGCGAGCGUUAUUCGGAAUUACUGGGCGUAAAGGGUCUGCAGGCGGCCUGCCAAGUCUGGCGUGAAAGUCCAAGGCUCAACCUUGGAACUGCGUUGGAUACUGGAAAGCUAGAGUGCAGGAGAGGAGAGCAGAAUUCCUGGUGUAGCGGUGGAAUGCGUAGAUAUCAGGAGGAACACCGAUGGCGAAGGCGGCUCUCUGGCAUGCAACUGACGCUGAGGUGCGAAAGCGUGGGGAGCAAACAG
rnacentral:rRNA from 1 species